rnacentral:rRNA from 1 species
UACGUAGGGUGCAAGCGUUGUCCGGAAUCAUUGGGCGUAAAGAGCGUGUAGGCGGCCCGAUCAGUCCGCUGUAAAAGUCCAAGGGCUCAACCCUGGGAUGCCGGUGGAUACUGUCGGGCUAGAGUCCGGAAGAGGCGAGUGGAAUUCCUGGUGUAGCGGUGAAAUGCGCAGAUAUCAGGAGGAACACCAAUGGCGAAGGCAGCUCGCUGGGACGGUACUGACGCUGAGACGCGAAAGCGUGGGGAGCAAACAGG